CACUCCUGCGGGAGGCAGCAGUGGGGAAUAUUGGACAAUGGGCGCAAGCCUGAUCCAGCCAUGCCGCGUGAGUGAUGAAGGCCCUAGGGUUGUAAAGCUCUUUCACCGGUGAAGAUAAUGACGGUAACCGGAGAAGAAGCCCCGGCUAACUUCGUGCCAGCAGCCGCGGUAAUACGAAGGGGGCUAGCGUUGUUCGGAUUUACUGGGCGUAAAGCGCACGUAGGCGGACUAUUAAGUCAGGGGUGAAAUCCCGGGGCUCAACCCCGGAACUGCCUUUGAUACUGGUAGUCUUGAGUUCGAGAGAGGUGAGUGGAAUUCCGAGUGCAGAGGUGAAAUUCGUAGAUAUUCGGAGGAACACCAGUGGCGAAGGCGGCUCACUGGCUCGAUACUGACGCUGAGGUGCGAAAGCGUGGGGAGCAAACAGGAUUAGAAACCCUUGUAGUCCCAUGA
rnacentral:rRNA from 1 species